rnacentral:rRNA from 1 species
CAGCGCCACAAGUGGGAGCCGCGAUUAUUGGGCCUAAAGCGUCCGUAGCCGGUUUGGUAAAUCUUUUGUGAAAUCGUUGGGCUUAACUUAACGACGUGCAGAAGACACUACCAGACUUGGAACUGGGAGGAGUCAGAGGUAUUUCUGGGGGAGCGGUAAAAUGCUAUAAUCCUAGGAGGACCACCGGUGGCGAAGGCGUCUGACCAGAACGGAUCCGACGGUGAGGGACGAAAGCCAGGGGAGCAAACCGGAUUAGAGACCCGAGUAGUCC